rnacentral:rRNA from 1 species
UACGGAGGGUGCUAGCGUUGUUCGGAAUUACUGGGCGUAAAGCGCGUGUAGGCGGAUUUAGUAGUCGGGUGUGAAAGCCCUGGGCUUAACCCAGGAAGUGCGCUCGAAACCAUAAAUCUAGAGGUCCGGAGGGGAUCGGGGAAUUCCCAGUGUAGAGGUGAAAUUCGUAGAUAUUGGGAGGAACACCGGCGGCGAAGGCGCCGAUCUGGACGGAUUCUGACGCUGAGACGCGAAAGCGUGGGUAGCAAACAGGAUUAGAUACCCUGGUAGUCCACGCCGUAAACUAUGUGCACUAGGUGUCGGGGGUAUUGACCCUCCCGGUGCCGACGCUAACGCAUUAAGUGCACCGCCUGGGAAGUACGGCCGCAAGGUUGAAACUCAAAGGAAUUGACGGGGGCCCGCACAAGCGGUGGAGUAUGUGGUUCAAUUCGACGCAACGCGAAAAACCUUACCCAGACUUGACAUCCCAGGAACCUUGCCGAAAAGCGAGGGUGCCCUUCGGGGAAUCUGGAGACAGGUGCUGCAUGGCU